GUCAGCGUCAGAGAAAUGGGAAUUGAAAAUUCUUUAACUUUAAAAAUAUUUGUAAACAACUCAUUGAGCUGUCCAAUGAUUAUUAACUGGAUUACAUGCCAAUGAAUGUGGCAUUGUGAUUUAUUUGGUACUACAACACAUGUACUUAUAACAGACAGUACCCUAGGUAUGGCAUGGGGUAAAGUAUGGCAUGAGGUUAUCUGCCACCAGGAACUGCGUGCUACUCUAGGUAUGACAUGGAGCAUAGUAUGGCAUGGGGGUAUCUGUCCCCGGGAACUGUCUGUUACCCUAGGUAUUACAUGGAGUAUAGUAUGAUAUGGGAGUAUCUGUCCCCUGGGAACUGUCUGUUACCCUAGGUAUGACAUGGGGUAUAGUAAGCUGCAACCCAUCGGAAACUGUCUAUUACCCUAGGUAUGGCAUGGGUGUAUCUGUGCCCUGGGAACUGUAUGUUACCCUAGGUAUGACAUGGGGUAUAGUAUGGCAUGGAUUAUCUGUCCCGGGAGCUGUCUUUUACCCUAUGUAUGAAAUGUGGGUAUAGUGUGGCAUGGGGAUAUCUGCCCUUCCAGGAACUGUGUGUUACCCUAGGUAUAAUAUGGGGGUAUAGUAUGGUAUGAGGGUAUCUGCCCUCCCGGAACUGUCUGUUACCCUAGGUAUGACAUGGGGUAUAGUAAGCUGCAACCCAUCGGAAACUGUCUGUUACCCUAGGUAUGGCAUGGGUGUAUCUGUGCCCUGGGAACUGUAUGUUAACCUAGGUAUGACAUGGGGUAUAGUAUGGCAUGG